rnacentral:rRNA from 1 species
CAGACUUAAAUAUUAAACUUCUUCACCUAAUACUAUAUCUUAAUCCAACAUCGAGGUCACAAUCUUUUUUAUCAAUAAGAACUUUCCAAAAAAAUUAUGCUGUUAUCCCUAAAGUAACUUAAUUUAAUAAUCGUUAAUAACGGAUCAAAAAAUCAAAAAUUAAUGUAAAUUUAAUUAAAAGUUAAUUAAAUUUUAAUAUCUCCCCAAUAAAAUAUAAAUUAAUUAUUAAAAUUUUAAAUAUCUACAUAAUUAAAAUAUUAAUUAUAUAAAGAUUUAUAGGGUCUUCUCGUCUAUUAAAAAUAUUUUAGCUUUUUAACUAAAAAAUAAAAUUCUAUUAAAAAUUUAAAAGAAACAGUUAAUAUCUCGUCCAAUCAUUCAUUCCAGCCUCCAAUUAAAAGACUAAUUAUUAUGCUACCUUUGCACAGUUGAUAUACUGCGGCCAUUUAAUAAUUUCAGUGGGCA